UAGGGAAUCUUCCACAAUGGGCGUAAGCCUGAUGGAGCAACGCCGCGUGUGUGAUGAAGGGUUUCGGCUCGUAAAACACUGUUGUAAGAGAAGAAUGACAUUGAGAGUAACUGUUCAAUGUGUGACGGUAUCUUACCAGAAAGGAACGGCUAAAUACGUGUCAG
rnacentral:rRNA from 1 species